CUGAAUGCCACUGGAGAUGUUUCUUCCCAAUUCUCAUAAUUUAAAAGCCCCACAGAGGCAGAGAACAUCUCUGUCUUUUUCAGAGUUGUAUUCUCGGUGACACACAUAGAUUAACUGCUCAAUAAAUAUUUAUUUAAUGAACAGAUGAGUAACUUAGCAAACCUCUCUUCGCUUCAAUCUUCUAAUUUGUUAAGUAGCCUUAUGAAUACGUAGAUCCUAGGGCCAUUAUAAAUAGUCGAUGGGCUAACGAACACUACACAGAACACAGGAGGUCCUCAAUAAAUAGAGGCUGCAAUGAAUGGAAAUGAAUAUACCAGUGAAGAUAUUUUUGUUCACAAUCAAAUGGCUUAUUCAUUUCAUGUACAGGCAUUACCUUAUUUUAAGUCUUUUUAGUAGCAUGUUUUGAUUAUCUUUUAAUAGUCCUAGAGGGAAAAGAAUUAACCUAAGGAAAAUGUAUCACUGUUUUAGCUUUAAGCUCAAGUCAUAACUAAUUGCUUCUAAUAUGAUAAACAGAAACUAGCUUAUUCCCUAGACAACCAUACCUUAAUUCUAAAUUUAAGAUAACUCUGUUAAUUUUUGUCAAUUACAUAAUUUCUGGAACUUCAUUUUUUUGCAGAGGAUAGGGUUCAGGAGGAGGACUUGAAAAAAGAUCGUCUCAGGGUUGUGAAAGAAGAUACAAUCAGCAAGCCUCUGAGAAAUCACAGCUGAUGACUAAGUCCACAGUCUGCUCAUAAAAUGUAGAGUUAUAGCUCUUGCUCUCACCACUGUCUCUGAUGAGUCUGAAGAAUUGUGAAUCACUAAAAGUCUCUACUUCUUUAAAUGUCUAGAAAGACUGUUCAAAUCACCUGGAAAGCUUGCA
rnacentral:lncRNA from 1 species